rnacentral:lncRNA from 1 species
UUCGGAAAGUGUUCGUGUUGACUCGGAGCUUCGCUGACAUGAAGCGCGAUGAGGCGUCCAGAGCCGCGGAGCUGCGCCGGUUUGUCGCCGACACUCUCUCCGCCGCCUCCCGGGAGAUCCUGGCGGCUGUCGACAGGCUCGUGGCCGAGCUGGAGGAGGAGGCUGCCGGCUUCAGGAGGCAGGUCACCCGGCAGCAGAGGCAGCUGGAGGUCCGCUCCGUUGGUGCUAAAUGCAGGAGAAGCUCCAGUCCUGCUGAGGAGAACCUGGAGAACCCGGAGAACCCGGAGAACCUGGACUUGACCUCUCCAUCCAGGUCGUCACCUCCGCGGCGUCGGAACGGGAGAAGGACGUCCGGCACGCGUCGGGACCAGGAGAAGAAGAACCACAUCCAGCUCAGGGUCCGGGUCCUGGACGACCCUCAGACCGCCGUCCUGUCCAGCAGUGUGCUGAAGAGAUGUCCGGUUCGGGAGCUGCGCUGCCGUCCGGACCUGCAGGAGGCCGACUUUGCCCUCCUGCUGAGGACCUCCUUCCCUCAGCUGGCCGCGGGAGACCGAGCCUUCGACGUGCUGACGUCGGACCGCCGCAGGAGGCUGCGGCCGCUGGAGCUGCGGCGUCUGACGCCCGGGGAGAUCCACCGGAGCGCCGGCAGCAGCUCCUGCAGGAGGUGCACCGUCCACAUCCGCCUGAAGGAGGUCCGUCUGCGUCCAUCUGUCCGUCUGCGUCUGUCCGUCUGUCUGCGUCUGUCUGGCAGGGUGAAGGUCUGA